AAGACUUCCGAGCCGCUGGAGGCGGGACAUCCGGGGCGUGGUUUAGAAAGAGUUUGCUUUCGCCGUGGGUGCAGAGGGUGGGCCUGCAGAGGGUGGGCCCGCCGGGGCUGGGUCGGGGGCGUGUGAUGACGGUAAUGGCGACGAGAUGCUCAACUCACGCGGCCUCUUUUAAUCCUCACAGCAGCUCUGCGUGGAGAAACUACAGUAACGUGUUACCACGUUAAGGCGGGAAGCUGAGGCAUGGGAGUAUUUAGUAACGUUCCCGGGCCGUUGAGCUGCGGUGUGCGGCCUCCUGAUCCACCUGAUCUGUAUGACUCCCGUACUCAACCAGCCUAUGUUUCCUACCAGCGAAUUUUUUUUUUUUUUUUUUUUGAGACAAUCUGGCUCUGUGGCUCAGGCUGGAAUGCAGUGGUGCGAUCUCGGCUCACUGCAGCCUCGACCUCCCAGGCUCGGGUGAUCCUCACUUCUCAGCCUCCCGAGCAGCUGGAACCACAGUCGCCUGCCACCACCAGGCUCGGCUAAUUUUUGUAUUUUUUGUAGAGACGGGGUCUCGCCAUGUUGCCUAGGCUGGUCUGGAACUCCUGGACUCAGUCAAUCCUCCUGCCUCGGCCUGCCAAAGUGCUGGGAUUACAGGCGUGAGCCACCACGCCGGGCCUCUCCCCGGGAAUGCUGUAGUAGAGGGACCCGCAGAGGCCCCGAGGCUGCCUGCAUGUGUGUGUUGGGAGGAUCUGCGCUGAGGGUGAUUCCUGCGUGGAUGCCUGCGGGGAUUCCUGCGUGGAUUGGGGAAGUCCUGCAGCAUUACAGAAUUGUUACCCAACGCCAGGGGCUUGGUCCAGAGUCCUGUUGCUAGAUGCACAGAAAGCAAAUCACCGAGAUGUAAGUAUUGCCAGGGAAGAAGGCUUUAUUCAGGUGACAUCAGCCAGAGAGACAGGAGACGAAACUCAGGUCCACCCCUGUCCCCCUCCCCGACUAAAGUUGUAGGUUGAUAUAGUCUGAAAAGAAAGCAGGAGCCAAGGAAGAGGAGGUGGCCCGCAGGCCGCAGGAGCUGCCUCUCAUUGUCCAAAUGUAGGUUUCUCAAGCAUCCGGCUUGUUAGGAAAUUGGGCCGGUUUCAGAAUCAUCAGCUUGUUCAAAAGUGGGACUUGGGAGGUGAAAAGUGUUGUCAGGCGGGAAACCCUGCAUUCUGCUUUGGCUGAGUGGAUGGGGCCCAGGAGGAUGAGCAGCAUGGGGAAGAGUAUGACUCGUAGUGGGCACCAUGAGGAUAAAGAGUUACAAGCUCCUCUGGCAUGGGCUGGAGGGAAGGGAGACCCUAUCGCAUAACCACAGCCCCACCUGCCUGGAGAGAAGAGGGAGGCGGCCCCGCUCCGUGCCACCCCACCGAGAAAGAUAGGACACCUGGAGCUCCAGCUCAACAAUCCCUCAAUCCCUCAAUCCUUCAUUUCAUCCUUGCAACAGUCCCAGGAGGUUUUUUUUUUUUUUUAAGGCAGAGCCUCCUUCUGUCACCCAGGCGGGAGUUCAGUGACGCAAUCUCGGCUCACGGCAACCUCCACCUCCCGGGUUCAAGCGAUUCUCCUGCCUUAGUCUCCUGAGUAGCUGGGAUUACAGGCAUGCGCCACCACGCUGGGCUAAUUUUUGUAUUUUUAGUAGAGACGGGGUUUCGCCAUGUUAGCCAGGCUGAUCUUGAACUCCUGAUUUCAGGUGAUCCGCCCGCCUCAGCCUCCCAAAGUGCUGGGAUUACAGGUGUGAGCCACCUCAUCCAGCCAGGAGGUAUCAAUGGUUAAUUCUCUCCACUGAACAAAUGGAGAAACUGAGACUCAGAGAGGGCAGGAAUGGCCUUGGAUGCAGUGAUUCCAUGGUGUGGCCUGAGUCAGAUGCCAGGGCCCCUCGGACGCCCGCUCCACAGGAGAGGGGUGACUCAGAGGUGCCGUGUCUGUCCUCUUCUCCUGAACAUGGGUGGUUGGUGCGGGGGCAGGGGGUGGGUCACUGCACUGUUUCCCAUGCCUCCCACCUCGGCUCUCAUGGUUGGGAGCGGCUGAGGGAGGAGGCUGAGGCAGGGAGAGGGAAGACCCAGGAGGGAGGAGGCAGACGCUGCUUUGAGGGGUGCCCUGGAGCCUUGGCAAUCCUUUUCCUCCUCGGGCCCGGGAGCCCAGGCCCCGUCUCCACCAGCCGCAGGCGACAGCUGUCAUGGUGGUCUACAGCCUGGGCCUGGGGAAGGGCUCAGAGCAGUGUGCAGCUGCAGCCUCGGGCCUCCAUGGCCACCAGCAGCAUCCUCAGGCGGCGCGGCGAUUGCGGCGGGUAGCGGAGGGCGUUGAGCUUCUCCAUCCCCGGGCUGCGCAGGAGGCAGGCGCGAUGGUGGGAGAAGGUGUCGAAGGAGAACUUGCCAUGGUACCGGCCCAUCCCACUGGCACCUGUACAGUGGCACAGAACACAGGUGGUCAGGCGCUGGGGGUCUCCUAGUCACAGACAGUGGGGCCUAGGUGGGCUACUUCUCCCCUCUGAGCCUCAGUUUCCCCAUCUGUCCAGUGGGCUGAUCAUGAGGCACUGUGUGUAAAGGGCUUAGCCCCGAGCUUGGCACCAGCUCAGUAAGCCCUGGGGAUGCCAGAUGCCAGGGCAAGAUAGGCAGGUGGUGGUCAAGGGCAUGGAUUCCAGAGUCAGACUGCCUGGGGUUAAACCCUGGCCCUGCUGCAAACAAUCCAUGUCACCUUGGACUGUGCCUCAGUCUCCUCUGUCAUGGGGUGACAAGGGUACCUCCCUCCUAGGGUUGUGGUGGGGAUUGAGGGGAUGUUGAGACCCCUGGACCCAGUAGGUGCUAUGUGCAGUGAACUCUCCUCAGCGUCUAGGUUGGGAGGCAGACGAGGCCCCAGGCCAGGGCGUUCAGGGCACAGCCUGGGUGGAGUGGGGUUGGCUGGGGGGCUUCCUGCAGUGAGUGAGCUCCAAGGAUAUGCAGUUAAUGAGACGAAGAGGGUGGGUGGGGGCAAGAGGGACCCAGGCUUGGGGAGCCUUAGAGGUGGGUGCCAUGCGGUGUGUUAGGGACCUGGGCAGAGCUCAGGCUGUGGGAGCAGCAGGUGGGGAAGCCGGGGUGGGGCCACGGCCACCAAGAAGGGUCGGCUCGGGGGCCUGGGAGCUGGGGGAGGCUUUCUUGAGGGAGCAGCAGGGUCAGAUGUGCCCACAGACAGCCCUGACUCUCCUCCAGGGCAGGGAGGUGGGUUGAGGAGGCUGGAGCUGGGGCUGGGGAGGCAGCUAGGUGGGGUCGGGGGCAGCCGCCCAAACUCGAGCCGAGCCAGGACAGCAGCACAGGCACUGUUGUGCCCCUGGCUGCCCUCCACGAAGGGCAUGGACCCACCUGAGGCAGCUUGCCUGGACCUGCCAUCGUUCACUGUGGUGCUGAGUGUGGACAGGUGGCGGGACUGCCUGUCACCUGCCCGGGGCCUACUGUUCUCUGAGGAGGAAGUGGGCUCAGAAAGGGGAGAUGUCACCUGGGCCACAGGGCCUUCAGCGUGUUGCUAGGACCAUCUCUGAGGCUUCCUGACUCAGAGGCCAGGACUGUGCAGUGGCAUCGGGGCUGCUCUGGGGGGUGGAGGAUUGGCACUCAUCCGGGCCUCUCAGGGUGGGGAGGUGUCGUACUGAGAGCUGGAGGGGGGAUGGGGUUAGAGGAGCAGCUGCCCUGGAGUAAAGGACGCCGGCGGCAUUGCUGCUGAGGGGCAGACACCAGGUCAUGCUGUUGGGGAGAAGAGCAAAUAGCAUCGCAGUGGGCAGUGUGAUCAUAGUUGUGUGGUAUUUUUAAAAAUUCACUAAAUUGUGUGUCUGUGCAGAGAUGGCCUAGAA